rnacentral:lncRNA from 1 species
AUGGUCAACCCCACUGUUCUUCAACAUUGCUGACGAAGGCAAGCCCUUGGGCCGCGUCUCCUUCAACCUGUUUGCAGACAAGAUUCCAAAGACAGCAGAAAACUUUCAUGCUCUGAGCACUGGCGAGAAAGGAUUUGGUUUUAAGGGUUUCCGCUUUCACAGAAUUAUUCCAGGGUUUAUGUAUCAGGGUGGUGACUUCACACCCAUAAUGGCACUGGUGGCAAGUCCAUUUACGGGGAGAAAUUUGGUGAUGAAAACUUCAUCCUAAAGCAUACAGGUCCUAGCAUCUUGUCCAUGGCAAAUGCUGGACCCAACACAAACGGUUCCCAGUUUUUCAUCUGCACUGCCAAGACUGAGUGGUUGGAUGGCAAGCAUGUGGUCUGUGGCAAGGCGAAAGAAGGCAAGAAUAUUGUGGAGGCCAUGGAGCGCUGUGGUUCCAGGAAUGGCAAGACCAGCAAGAAGAUCACCAUUGCUGACUGUGAACAACUCUAA